UACGUAGGUGACAAGCGUUGUCCGGAUUUACUGGGCGUAAAGAGCGCGCAGGCGGUCGUUCAAGUCGAGUGUGAAAGCCCCCGGCUCAACUGGGGAGGGUCAUUCGAUACUGAUCGACUCGAAGGCAGGAGAGGGAAGUGGAAUUCCCGGUGUAGUGGUGAAAUGCGAUAGAUAUCGGGAGGAACACCAGUGGCGAAGGCGACUUCCUGGCCUGUUCUUGACG
rnacentral:rRNA from 1 species